GUAGAGACUACGGUCCCAUCUGCACCGUUGUGGGGCUUACUGUCUCCCCUUUGUACAUUAAGCUGCCGCUGGGGAGAGGGGGUAACCAGCUCCUCUCCCAUACAUACUUCCAGCUGCGGGGAAGGGAGACCGACUGUCUCUGCUCCCAAUACAGAGUCCUGCUGCUGGGGAAAGGAGACUGGGCUCUCUAUUCCCGGUAGGACACUCUGCCGCUGGGGAAUGGAGACUGGGCUCCCAAUUCCCAAAACAUCACGCUGCCGCUGCGGAGGGAGGACACUGCUCUCCUCUCCCUGGACUUCCCACUGCCUUCCCGGCAUAUCACCUGGCUUCUGGGGGGCAAGAACAACUACCUCUGCCCCCUGUAACUCAGCCUGCCGCUGGGGAAUGGAGCUCCGGCUCCCAAUUCCCUGCAAUAUCUCCCGCUGGGGAAUGGAGCUCGGGCUCCCAAUUCCCUGCAAUUCAUUCUGCUGCUGGGGGGCAGGAACAACUACCUCUGCCCCCUGUAACUCAGCCUGCCGCUGGGGAAUGGAGCUCCGGCUCCCAAUUCCCUGCAAUAUCUCCCGCUGGGGAAUGGAGCUCGGGCUCCCAAUUCCCUGCAAUUCAUUCUGCUGCUGGGGGGCAGGAACAACUACCUCUGUCCCCUGUAACUCAGCCUGCCGCUGGGGAAUGGAGCUCAGGCUCCCAAUUCCCUGCAAUAUCUCCCGCUGGGGAAUGGAGACUGGGCUCCCAAUUCCCAAUAAAUCACACGGCCGCUGGGGAAUGGAGACUGGGCUCCCAAUUCCCUGCAGGACCGGUGGAGAGACCUCGGUCCCAUCUCUACCGGCCACCUGGGGUUCUUCCCAGAAAAUAUCCACAAUGUCUUCCCAGCUGAAUGGGUCUGGUUCUGGCUCUGUCACGCUGCUCUCCUGCUGAGCCUUCUC